AUGGGCUGCAGGCUGCUCUGCUUUGUGGUCCUCUGUCUCUUGGGAGCAGUCCCCACGGACACUCGAAUUACUCAGACACCAAAACACCUGGUCAUAGGAAUGAGAAAUAAGAAGUCUUUGAAAUGUGAACAACAUCUGGGACAUAAUUCUAUGUAUUGGUAUAAACAGAGUGCACAGAAGCCCCUGGAACUCAUGUUUGCCUACAACUUGAAGGAACUCAUUAAGAACGAGAGUGUUCCAAGUUGCUUCUUUCCUAAAUGUCCAGACAGCUCCCUUUUAUACCUUCGCAUGGAUGCCCUGGAGCCAGAAGACUCCGCCAUGUAG